rnacentral:rRNA from 1 species
UACGUAGGGGGCAAGCGUUGUCCGGAAUUACUGGGCGUAAAGGGUGCGUAGGCGGUAAGUUAAGUCAGAUGUGAAAGUCCAGGGCUCAACCGUGGAAUUGCAUUUGAAACUGACUUACUUGAGUGCAGGAGAGGAGAGCGGAAUUCCUAGUGUAGCGGUGAAAUGCGUAGAUAUUAGGAAGAACACCAGUGGCGAAGGCGGCUCUCUGGACUGUAACUGACGCUGAGGCACGAAAGCGUGGGGAG